rnacentral:miRNA from 1 species
UGAGGCCGUUGGGGAGAGUGG